AGAGUUCGAUCCUGGCUCAGGAUGAACGCUGGCGGCGCGCCUAACACAUGCAAGUCGAACGGUUAAAGCCCCUUCGGGGGUGCAUAGAGUGGCGAACGGCUGAGUAACACGUGGGCAACCUGCCCCCCGCACCGGGACAGCCUCGGGAAACCGUGGUUAAUACCGGAUACUCCGCCGCCCCCGCAUGGGGGCGGCGGGAAAGCCCAGGCGGAGGGGGAUGGGCCCGCGGCCUGUUAGCUCGUUGGCGGGGUAACGGCCCACCAAGGCGAUGAUGGGUAGCCGGGUUGAGAGACCGACCGGCCAGAUUGGGACUGAGACACGGCCCAGACUCCUACGGGAGGCAGCAGUGGGGAAUCUUGCACAAUGGGCGAAAGCCUGAUGCAGCGACGCCGCGUGCGGGACGAAGGCCUUCGGGUCGUAAACCGCUUUCAGCAGGGACGAGGCCGAAAGGUGACGGUACCUGCAGAAGAAGCCCCGGCUAACUACGUGCCAGCAGCCGCGGUAAUACGUAGGGGGCGAGCGUUAUCCGGAAUUAUUGGGCGUAAAGAGUGCGUAGGUGGCAUCUUAAGCGCAGGGUUUAAGGCAAUGGCUCAACCAUUGUUCGCCUUGCGAACUGGGGUGCUUGAGUGCAGGAGGGGAAAGUGGAAUUCCUAGUGUAGCGGUGAAAUGCGUAGAUAUUAGGAGGAACACCAGUGGCGAAGGCGACUUUCUGGACUGUUACUGACACUGAGGCACGAAAGCGUGGGGAGCAAACAGGAUUAGAUACCCUGGUAGUCCACGCCGUAAACG
rnacentral:rRNA from 1 species